CCUUCAGGUUCUAUUUAUGGGAGGUACUUCAGGUAUCUGGAAAAGACGAGCAAACUGAGGAACCAGAGGGUCAACAAAGGCCAAAAACCUUCCUUUCUCUUGCUGAGAUCGUUCAUAAAAAAUCCUCCGGGAUGUCUGAGCUGGAGAAGGCCAUGGUUGCCCUCAUUGAUGUCUUCCAUCAGUAUUCAGGGAGAGAGGGUGACAAGCACAAGCUGAAGAAGUCAGAACUGAAGGAGCUCAUCAACAACGAGCUCUCUCACUUCCUGGAGGAAAUCAAAGAGCAGGAAGUGGUGGACAAAGUGAUGGAGACGCUGGACGAAGAUGGGGAUGGGGAGUGUGACUUCCAGGAGUUUAUGGCCUUCGUCUCCAUGGUGACCACAGCCUGUCAUGAGUUCUUUGAACAUGAGUGAGACAAAAAAAAAAAAGUGGCUGAGCCGUUUCCCCGUGGCAGACAUGAGGGCCACGAGAGGAGGCACGGCAGAAGGCUCGUGGGCUGGAAGGAGCUGCGCUCUCUAGACGCAUAUAACUAAUUAGGAAGCUUGAUUUGCUUCAGGGAUGAAACUCUGACCCCGUUCCCAAGGGCUGCUUUAAGUUAGCACAUCGUUUCUGCUACACUAGGUAUUCCUGUGAGCUGAAUGGUCCCGGGAACUAUUGAUAAGAGUCACUGAGGGGACGAAAUCAACACUCUGUGGGUAUAGCACUGGUUGUAGACCACCAUGCUCCUGUGGAAGGGUCACCUGUAAGAAUCAAGGCAGACUACCAAUAGCACCUCCGUUGGACAGCUUUCUUAGGUGUAAUGUAUGCUGUCCAUGCAUCUACAGACCCACAGCUGGAUCCACUGCCACCCGAAGAGGUUGGCUCGCCCUUACAACUGCUUGUCCUCUGUGCAAACGAUGCCCCGGAAAGUUAGACCUAUCACCCACACCCUCCCACCACCCCCAGCCCAAAAGGACAGCCCACUCAAGUCUCUUCUUCCACAGUGAACCGUGGUUUGUUACUAAGUACGUAUUUGACACCAACAGUUCUAACUGGUGGAACGAUUAGAUCUCGCACACUAAGUAUUAGCAUCCUAACUCACGACCGAGAAUCAAAAUUCUGCUCAGUAGACGUCUCCUUUCAGGAUGACACCAUUGUCCCCAUAGGACACGGACAGAGGAGGGCACUGGAGAGAGUGUCAGGUCUUUUUCUAGCUGUAUCUUCCUCUCUCCCUCUGCUGCCCAUAAUGUGAGUGACCCUCUAGGGUGAGACUUGCAGGGUGAGCUGCUGAGGAAUGAAGGGCCACUGAGAUGUGUCCUUUAGCUGCUGGGUGUCAUGUCUGACCUGCUGGUGCCUAGGGCCUGCUUAACACUCGGCAAGGCUGCGAGCCGAGGACUGUGGGAAGCCGGACUUGAUGCUUUCUAACCUGCAUAUUUGAAUGCCGAAGGUUCAAACAAUCCAAGUUACAGAUAAAUAAAAACCGCAUUGCAAGUAUUAAAAAGCCAUUCUAGGAAAAUUCUAAUUGCUCUCACCCACCUCUUUUUUUAGUACUGUUAUUUAUUAUUUAUUAUUUUUUUUUAGGAGUCGAGACUUAGAAGUUCAUUAAGACAACUGAACAAUGCCCUUGGGUAAAAUAAAAACUGUUAACAAUUCUCCAUCACCACUGAAGAAAUAAAAAUCACCCACCCUUAAGAGCCCAAGGGUGAGGGUUGGGGAUUUAGCUCAGUGGUAGAGCGCUUGCCUAGCAAGUGCAAGGCCCUGGGUUCGGUCCCCAGCUCCGGAAAAAAAAAAAAAAGAGCCCAAGGGUGGGUGAAAGGCAGCUAGAACUCUAGAACUUCGGGAGGCUCUUCAACGGUCAAAGGCUGCACAGAAUCAGAUCGCCCCAUGACCAGAGACUAUGAUGUGGCUCUGACAGGCAAUUUUCUGCCCUGGCUGGAUCACCUGUUAGCUUUCUUACCACUGUGACAGAAUUCCCGACUUAACGGAAGAAGAAUAAAUAUUUGUUUAGCUCC
rnacentral:lncRNA from 1 species